ensembl:rRNA 5S_rRNA 5S ribosomal RNA
AUCCACAGCCACACCCUUCUGACCGUGCCCAAUCUCGGAAGCUAAGCAGGGUUGGGCCUUGCUGGGACUUGGAGGGGAGACCACCUGGGAAUACCGGGUGCUGUAGGCU